CCUACGGGAGGCAGCAGUGAGGAAUAUUGGUCAAUGGACGAGAGUCUGAACCAGCCAAGUAGCGUGAAGGAUGACUGCCCUAUGGGUUGUAAACUUCUUUUAUAUGGGAAUAAAAUGUUCCACGUGUGGGAUUUUGUAUGUACCAUAUGAAUAAGGAUCGGCUAACUCCGUGCCAGCCGCCGCGGUAAUACGGAGGAUCCGAGCGUUAUCCGGAUUUAUUGGGUUUAAAGGGAGCGUAGGUGGAUUGUUAAGUCAGUUGUGAAAGUUUGCGGCUCAACCGUAAAAUUGCAGUUGAAACUGGCAGUCUUGAGUACAGUAGAGGUGGGCGGAAUUCGUGGUGUAGCGGUGAAAUGCUUAGAUAUCACGAAGAACUCCGAUUGCGAAGGCAGCUCACUGGACUGCAACUGACACUGAGGCUCGAAAGUGUGGGUAUCAAACAGGAUUAGAUACCCGGGUAGUC
rnacentral:rRNA from 1 species